AACGAACGCUGGCGGCGCGCCUAAUACAUGCAAGUCGAGCGAGAAGACGUAGCAAUACGUUUGUAAAGCGGCGAACGGGUGAGGAAUACAUGGGUAACCUACCCUCGAGUGGGGAAUAACUAGCCGAAAGGUUAGCUAAUACCGCGUACGCUUCUUGGACUUCGGUUCAGGGAGGAAAGCGAUGCCGAGGGUAUCGCGCUCUUGGAUGGGCUCAUGUCCUAUCAGCUUGUUGGGAGGUAACGGCUCACCAAGGCUUCGACGGGUAGCUGGUCUGAGAGGACGAUCAGCCACACUGGCACUGCGACACGGGCCAGACUCCUACGGGAGGCAGCAGUAAGGAAUAUUGCGCAAUGGGCGAAAGCCUGACGCAGCGACGCCGCGUGGGGGAUGAA
rnacentral:rRNA from 1 species